rnacentral:rRNA from 1 species
UACGGAGGGUGCAAGCGUUGUCCGGAUUUAUUGGGUUUAAAGGGUGCGUAGGCGGCCGGAUAAGUCCGUGGUGAAAGCCAACAGCUCAACUGUUGAACUGCCAUGGAUACUGUUCGGCUGGAGUACAGACGAGGUAGGCGGAAUGGAUGGUGUAGCGGUGAAAUGCAUAGAUACCAUCCAGAACCCCGAUUGCGAAGGCAGCUUACUAGGCUGUAACUGACGCUGAGGCACGAAAGCGUGGGGAGCGAACAGG